UGGGGAAUAUUGCACAAUGGGCGAAAGCCUGAUGCAGCAACGCCGCGCGAGGGACGACGGCCUUCGGGUUGUAAACCUCUUUUAGCAAGGAAGAAGCGAAAGUGACGGUACUUGCAGAAAAAGCGCCGGCUAACUACGUGCCAGCAGCCGCGGUAAUACGUAGGGCGCAAGCGUUAUCCGGAAUUAUUGGGCGUAAAGAGCUCGUAGGCGGUUUGUCGCGUCUGCUGUGAAAACCCGAGGCUCAACCUCGGGCCUGCAGUGGGUACGGGCAGACUAGAGUGCGGUAGGGGAGAUUGGAACUCCUGGUGUAGCGGUGGAAUGCGCAGAUAUCAGGAAGAACACCGAUGGCGAAGGCGAUCUCUGGGCCGUAACUGACGCUGAGGAGCGAAAGGGUGGGGAGCAAACAGGCUUAGAUACCCUGGUAGUCCACCCCGUAAACGUUGGGAACUAGUUGUGGGGUCCAUUCCACGGAUUCCGUGGACGCAGCUAACGCAUUAAGUUCCCCGCCUGGGGAGUACGGCCGCAAGG
rnacentral:rRNA from 1 species